rnacentral:rRNA from 1 species
GACGAACGCUGGCGGCGUGCUUAACACAUGCAAGUCGAGCGGUAAGGCCCUUUCGGGGUACACGAGCGGCGAACGGGUGAGUAACACGUGGGUGACCUGCCCUUAGCUCUGGGAUAAGCCUGGGAAACUGGGUCUAAUAACCGGNUAUGACUCCAUGACGCAUGUUGUGGGGUGGAAAGCCUUGUGCGGCUAGGGAUGGGCCCGCGGCCUAUCAGCUUGUUGGUGGGGUGAUGGCCACCAAGGCGACGACGGUAGCCGGCCUGAGAGGGCGACCGGCCACACUGGGACUGAGACACGGCCCA